CUCUAUUGGGAAUUCAAAGUUAUGAAACAUCCCUACUUAAAAGGAGCACAUAGUGUGUCUAGGAAAAAAGAAAUCAACCAGUUAUGUAAGCUGAUGAAAUUACUAACAGUCCAGACAAUGUCACAAAUUUCUUCAAUGACAUAAGGACAACAAAUUAGAUAAAAGCUUCUUAUGUAUUAGAUAGGGAUAAUUGACUAAAAGACUAUUCUAUUCCAAGGUGGAGGUUUAAAUGUGUCACAAAAAUGUCAUCAUGACUGUGACGUUAUAAUACUAUGUCUAAAUUUUCUCUGCAUAAUUGCUGUCUGUUAACAUUCUACAGGGAUUCAUCUACUAGAGCACUCAUGCUUGGUGAGAAGUAGCAGUUCUAUGGCUAUGCUUUAUAUUUCAAGGCUCUUCUGGACAUUCAGCAACUGAGGUUUAGAAACCAAAAGUUAAAAACACAGAUGGGCUGAAAACACAGAUAACCAAUAUGGCCCUAGCCCUCCAAAACAUGUCAGUCUCCUUGAAAUACUCCUUUUUGUGUCAGUUCCCAAGCCUGGGAUAAAUGGGUAUCACCCAGUCCAGGACUUGUGGGCAAUGAAUGCCCUGGUUGUAACCCUUUACCCUACUGUACCCAACCCCUAUACCUUUCUUAGUUAACUCCCACCUACUCAGAGUUGGUAUACUGUGUUGGAUUUAAAAGAUUUUUUUUUCCGUAUUUCUUUGUCUGUUGCAUCCCAAGAGUUGCCUGCUUUUGAAUGAGAGGAUCGGGGGCAGGGGAAUGAAAAUGUACUUUACUAAAGGAAACUGAUGGCCCUCAACACUGCCUCCCUUUCACCGACAUCACUGGAGCCACCUGAGCACAACUAUGUGCACACAAUCAAGGCAAUCCAACUCAGCCAGACUGGACCUACGGGACGCAUCCCUCCGGAACCCUGACUUGACACUUCUUGGGCUACAACAGAAUGAAACUGCCCAGAGUCCACAGACAAGGAAUACUGGCCUUUGAGGAUGUUGAGGUGGAUUCUACAGAACUCAAACCCACCCUUAGAAACAAGAAGUAUUUGUUGGUCCUCAUUUGCACCUAUUUGGACUGGGUGGAGGCCAUCCCCACAAAAACUGAGAUGACUAGAGAGAUGAUAAAAGCUCUGAUGGAGCUAGUUAUUCCUCAGUAUGGGCUUCCCAUGAUGGUAGGUUCACAUGAUGGGCCUUCUUUCAUGGGUUGAGUGGUUCAGAGCCUUUCCACUAAAAUGGGAGCUACACACCACUGACCAACCACAGAGUUCUAACCAGGUAGAGAGACAGAAUCCAACUUUAAAGUCUACCCUAGCCAAGCUGUGCCAAGAGACUGGGACAAACUGGGUAACUAUGCUUCAGAUCACCUUGCUGAGGUACCGAUGCACCCCAUACCAGGAAGAACUCACUCUGUUUGAGAUCAUGUUGGGAGGCCUCCCCCACUUUUGCCCAUCUUAUAAACACUACAAGAGAUAAGGACUCUUGAUGUACUGGAGGAGCACAUUUGUAAUGACAACCAUUGUGUACCACUGAGUGGACCCUAUUUGCCUUCAGUGAGCUGAGCUGGCCUCACUGUAUUUCCUGUAUGACCAGCAAGAUGUUAUAUUUAUAAUCCACAUAAGUAAAUUUUGGAUCCCUCACUG